rnacentral:rRNA from 1 species
UAAUACCGGAUAUGACUGUCUGACGCAUGUCAGGUGGUGGAAAGCUUUUGUGGUUUUGGAUGGACUCGCGGCCUAUCAGCUUGUUGGUGGGGUAAUGGCCUACCAAGGCGACGACGGGUAGCCGGCCUGAGAGGGUGACCGGCCACACUGGGACUGAGACACGGCCCAGACUCCUACGGGAGGCAGCAGUGGGGAAUAUUGCACAAUGGGCGCAAGCCUGAUGCAGCGACGCCGCGUGAGGGAUGACGGCCUUCGGGUUGUAAACCUCUUUCAGUAGGGAAGAAGCGAAAGUGACGGUACCUGCAGAAGAAGCGCCGGCUAACUACGUGC